AGGAAUAAGAUUUUAGAAAUUAUUCUCCUUCAGCUUUAUAUGGAUCGACUUGAACAAUUUGAAUUGUGUUAAAUAAGGAAACUAUUUACGUUUCAGUAGUAUCCUUUGGAUAUUUGUUAAAUAAACUAUUUUUCACUGAAGUACGACUCAAUAUAUUCACUAAUCUAUUUCUGUUGAUAUUGGCAUCACAAAUUGAUAAAACGAGAAAAAUUCCCUUUUUUGCACUAGCUAGAAUCACUUUUUUUAAAUUUUAGAAUCAAAUAUCUUAAAUUAAUUUAUUUACCAUGCUAACUAUUUCUUUAACAGGCAGUGCUAUAAUUUUGUUUAGAAGACAUUUGACAAGCAUUGGAUACUGCUCCUCCACAAUAACUUUUCUAUCUAUCUGGAAGAAUUGGAACUCUCAGGAAAAUUUUACAAUGCUUCUUCGGUUGGGAUAUUCGGCACUGCUACAUUUCUGAAAUUCAAGUCCGCUGAAAGAAUUUUUCAUGAUCAUGAAUGUGAAUCUGCCUACAAAUUCAAAGAAUUAAUAUUUGUUAUUGCGACUAAAGAAUACAAACAGCAGAAGAGUGGCAAAAGGAUCAUAUCAGCUCUCUAAUACAUGACGUUUUUGUUUAAUUUUCUUAAUAAUCCAAAAAUUGAAAUAUAUAAUUGAAUAAAAACA
rnacentral:lncRNA from 1 species